rnacentral:rRNA from 1 species
GACAACCAGGAUGUUGGCUUAGAAGCAGCCACCAUUGAAAGAGUGCGUAAUAGCUCACUGGUCGAGUGACUCUGCGCCGAAAAUGUAACGGGGCUAAACACACCACCGAAGCUAUGGCUUGAUGCUUGCAUCAGGGGUAGGGGAGCGUUGUAUAAGGGUUGAAGGUGUACCGUAAGGAGCGCUGGACAUUAUACAAGUGAGAAUGCCGGUAUGAGUAACGAAAAGAUCAGUGAGAAUCUGAUCCGCCGAAAG